AUUGAACGCUGGCGGCAGGCUUAACACAUGCAAGUCGAACGAGUGGCGGACGGGUGAGUAAUGCUUGGGAAUCUGGCAUAUGGAGGGGGAUAACGACGGGAAACUGUAGCUAAUACCGCGUACCAUAGGAUGAGCCCAAGGGGGCUUAGGUAGUAGGUGGGGUAACGGCUCACCUAGGCGACGAUCCCUAGCUGGUCUGCGAGGAUGACCAGCCACACUGGAACGGAGACACGUCCCAGACUCCUACGGGAGGCAGCAGUGGGGAAUAUUGCACGAUGGGCGCAAGCCUGAUGCAGCAAUGCCGCGUGUGUGAAGAAGGCCUCCGGGUUGUAAAGUACUUUCAGCGGGGAGGCGUUACCCGCAGAAGAAGCACCGGCUAACUCCGGGCCAGCAGCCGCGGUAAUAC
rnacentral:rRNA from 1 species